AUUGAACGCUGGCGGCAGGCCUAACACAUGCAAGUCGAGCGGGGUUUUCGGACCUAGCGGCGGACGGGUGAGUAAUGCGUAGGAAGCUACCCGAUAGAGGGGGAUACCAGUUGGAAACGACUGUUAAUACCGCAUAAUGUCUACGGACCAAAGUGUGGGACCUUCGGGCCACAUGCUAUCGGAUGCGCCUACGUGGGAUUAGCUAGUUGGUGAGGUAAUGGCUCACCAAGGCGACGAUCCCUAGCUGGUUUGAGAGGAUGAUCAGCCACACUGGAACUGAGACACGGUCCAGACUCCGACGGGAGGCAGCAGUGGGGAAUAUUGGACAAUGGGCGCAAGCCUGAUCCAGCCAUGCCGCGUGUGUGAAGAAGGCCUUCGGGUUGUAAAGCACUUUCAGUAGGGAGGAAGCGUUGUGUGUUAAUAGUACACAGCGUUGACGUUACCUACAGAAGAAGCACCGGCUAACUCUGUGCCAGCCGCCGCCGCGGUAA
rnacentral:rRNA from 1 species